rnacentral:lncRNA from 1 species
CUGCCUCGCUAGCGCAGGGAGAAGUCGCACCAGUCGGAGCGCAGAGGGACACGCAGACAUUUCAGCAGAGGCCUCAAAGGCAGAACAAAAUAGUGCAAGGAGCCGCACAUCCGCACAGUGCUGAGACCCUGCCCAGGACAAGCUUGAUCCUGGCACCCAAGUGACAACCUGCAUUGAAAAGGCGGAACUUGGCUCUCCUGCCCUGCCAGCUGUAAGAGCUUGAAAGCAAAGCUAUGGGGGGAAUGUCUUUCAUUUCCCCCUGGAAGCUGGGAGGACGUUCAGCUUAGCAUUGCCAACUGUGUAAUGUGGACUUGCCUCUAAAAGAAGCCUUUUUCCUUGGAUGUCUUUCAGGCCGCAGUAUUCCCUUUGGCACCCCCACCCACCUGGAACAAAGCCUGAUGUAAAGUCUGGGUGCGACUCAGACCGGCCUGGGAAAGAAUUUAUUUAAUAAAUGGUGGAAAGUGGCUUCCUUGACGUGUCUUCGAUGGCUUUUUUAUAAAGCAUUUGGUUUGUCUACUCGUCUGUUUUUGCGCCAUCUCUUUCCACAAAGAUGGCUUAUAGCAGGGAUACUUACAACAAAAUGAUGCUGGGAAAACAAAAACAAAGAAGUAGAGAAUUAGGCCUGAGAAAACUAGGAGUAGAGAGUCACGAUUAGAUACAGAGGAGCAUAGAUGUGUAGUCUAGGAAGGCCAACUAAUUGUUAUAGCUGAAAUUCAAAUUCAGUUAGCUAAAAUGUUCCUAGUGUCAAAGGAAGAAUGGGCCACACAGUUGCAUAAUCCUUAGUAUUAGGGAGAAGGAAAAGGUUCCAGUUAUUCAGAGGGAUGUUCUCUUGCCUUAUUCCUUUAAUAAGUAUCUGUUAAAGGCCCACCAUGUGCCAAGCACCAUGCCCGGCAAGCACUGCACUCACCCCCCAGGAACUCAGUGUCUAAAGGAGACUGGGUGAAAGAACUAUAUUUGUGUGCCUAUGAUGUGUCAAAUACUAUGCAUUUAGUUAUGCAGUUACUGUAUGUUAGACACUAUGCAUUUAAUUAUUUACCUGCUGUAUAUCAGACACCAUGCAUUUUCAUUUAACCCUCAUAAGCACUUACAUCAAGUAGACACUGUUACCUCUUUUUUACAGAUGAGAAAACAGAGUCUCUUCCCGCAGCUGGUAAGUAUUGAACUUAGGAUUCAAAUCAAGGCCAUUCUCUCUUAUAUAUGGUGCUAGACUGUUGGUGGUCUUUCUAACUUCCAUUAUUUAUUUUCCCUUCCCUUUCUUUUCUUCUUUUCCUUUUCCUUUUUUUUUUUUAGAAACAGGAUCUUGCUCUGUUGCCCAGGCUGGAGUGCUGUGGUACGAUCAUAGCUCACUACAGCCUUUACCUCCUGUUUUCAAGUGAUAUGUCCACGUAUCCCCUCCU